CAGUCGCCGCGGUAAUACGAAGGGUGCAAGCGUUACUCGGAAUUACUGGGCGUAAAGCGUGCGUAGGUGGUGGUUUAAGUCCGUUGUGAAAGCCCUGGGCUCAACCUGGGAAUUGCAGUGGAUACUGGGUCACUAGAGUGUGGUAGAGGAUAGUGGAAUUUCCGGUGUAGCAGUGAAAUGCGUAGAGAUCUGGAGGAAUACCGAUGGCGAAGGCAGCCAUCUGGCCUAAUACUGACGCUGAGGUACGAAAGCAUGGGGAGCAAACAGGAUUAGAUACCCCAGUAGUCCCUGUCUCUUAUAC
rnacentral:rRNA from 1 species